rnacentral:rRNA from 1 species
CGUGUCGUGAGAUGUUGGGUUAAGUCCCGUAACGAGCGCAACCCUUGUCCUUAGUUACCAGCACGUUAUGGUGGGCACUCUAAGGAGACUGCCGGUGACAAACCGGAGGAAGGUGGGGAUGACGUCAAGUCAUCAUGGCCCUUACGGCCUGGGCUACACACGUGCUACAAUGGUCGGUACAGAGGGUUGCCAAGCCGCGAGGUGGAGCUAAUCUCACAAAACCGAUCGUAGUCCGGAUCGCAGUCUGCAACUCGACUGCGUGAAGUCGGAAUCGCUAGUAAUCGCGAAUCAGAAUGUCGCGGUGAAUACGUUCCCGGGCCUUGUACACACCGCCCGUCACACCAUGGGAGUGGGUUGCACCAGAAGUAGCUAGUCUAACCUUCGGGAGGACGGUUACCACGGUGUGAUUCAUGACUGGGGU